AUACGUAGGGGGCGAGCGUUGUCCGGAAUGACUGGGCGUAAAGGGCGUGUAGGCGGCUGUCUAAGUCUGGAGUGAAAGUCCUGCUUUCAAGGUGGGAAUUGCUUUGGAGACUGGAUGGCUUGAGUGCGGAAGAGGUAAGUGGAAUUCCCAGUGUAGCGGUGAAAUGCGUAGAGAUUGGGAGGAACACCAGUGGCGAAGGCGACUUACUGGGCCGUAACUGACGCUGAGGCGCGAAAGCGUGGGGAGCGAACAGGAUUAGAUACCCUGGUAGUCCACGCGGUAAACGAUGAAUACCAGGUGUUGCGGGUAUCGACCCCUGCAGUGCCGGAGUAAACGCAAUAAGCAUUCCGCCUGGGGAGUACGGCCGCAAGGUUGAAACUCAAAUGAAUUGACGGGG
rnacentral:rRNA from 1 species